rnacentral:rRNA from 1 species
CGCUGGCGGCGUGCCUAACACAUGCAAGUCGAACGCGAAAGUCCCGCAAGGGAUUAGUAGAGUGGCAAACGGGUGAGUAACACGUGGGUGACCUGCCCUCGAGCGGGGGAUAACGUCCCGAAAGGGACGCUAAUACCGCGUGACAUCCUGCCUUUGAACAGGCGGAGAUCAAAGCUGGGGAUCGCAAGACCUAGCACUCGAAGAGGGGCCCGCGCCUGAUUAGCUAGUUGGUGAGGUAAUGGCUCACCAAGGCUACGAUCAGUAUCCGGCCUGAGAGGGCGGACGGACACACUGGGACUGAGACACGGCCCAGACUCCUACGGGAGGCAGCAGUGGGGAAUUGUUCGCAAUGGGCGCAAGCCUGUCGACGCAACGCCGCGUGGAGGAUGAAGACCUUCGGGUCGUAAACUCCUUUCGAUCGAGACGAAUGGCCUCCGGGUGAACAAUCCGGAGGAGUGACGGUACCGAGAGAAGAAGCCCCGGCUAACUCCGUGCCAGCAGCCGCGGUAAUACGGGGGGGGCAAGCGUUGUUCGGAAUUACUGGGCGUAAAGGGCUCGUAGGCGGCCAACUAAGUCAGACGUGAAAUCCCUCGGCUUAACCGGGGAACUGCAUCUGAUACUGGAUGGCUUGAGUUCGGGAGAGGGAUGCGGAAUUCCAGGCGUAGCGGUGAAAUGCGUAGAUAUCUGGAGGAACACCGGUGGCGAAGGCGGCAUCCUGGACCGACACUGACGCUGAGAGCGAAAGCCAGGGG